UCAUGGGGGUGGUUUCCCCCAUACCGUUCUUCUGGUAGUAAACAAGUCUCACAAGAGCUGAUGGUUUUAUGAAGGGUUUCCACAUUUGCAUCUUCCUCAUUUUCUCUUGCCGCCGCCACAUAAGAAGUGCCUUUCACCUCUCAUCAUGAUUCUGUGGCCUCCCCAGCCAUGUGGAACUUUUUUCUCUUGCUGCCACCAUGUAAGAAGUGCCUUUCACCUCGUGCCAUGAUUAUGAGGCUUCCCCAGCCAUGUGGAACUGUUGUUCUCAUUCGUGGCUGGAUCACACCAGCAAGAAGGAUUUUAAAGGACAACUCCUUGGGACCGUCCAACACUGAAACCGCCUGACCGCUGCUGUCUUUGUGCUUGCAGAAAAUCACGGUGGGCACAAAAUUUUGGACACGAUUUCGAGAGCGUGAGAGCUACUGUUCACGAAUCCAGGGCCAGCCUCGUGUCUGUCUUCCUUUAAAGCACCUGGCUUGGUACCUAAAAUGUUCCUUUUUUUUUUUGAAAUUCAAUAACUUCAUCAGAACAGGCGUUGAUGUAGACAGAUCUCCAUCUUUUUGGUUUUUUGAGUGAGUUUUUGCU